GCCAUGUCCCCUGUGUGAGCUGACAGAAGCUGAGCCCAGGAGCAGAAAGCAGGCGCUUGUCCUUAGCUCUGAAGCAUUUUGCAGCAGAGCCCUGAACUGCCCUCCCUGAAACUUGUUCAUCAAGAGCUCACUUCUUCCAACAGUACGUCUGGAGAGAUUCUUACAUACAAUGUUACAGUCAAGCAAGAAGAAAUGCAAGAGAAUUGAGUGUAAGGUAUUCAUGCUUCUUGAUAUACAAAGAGAAAAAUAUGGUUCCUGCGCUGAGGAGGCUUGUCUGUUAUCAAAAAGAACUUUUCUGCAACUCCUCUAUCCAUACCUGCAACUUCCCAGUUUGUCCUAUGGUUAACCUCUGUGACUGUGACAAAAAAAGGAGAUACCAGUGGUGUAUAUU